GAUGAAGAACUUAGCGAAAUGCGAUACGUAAUGUGAAUUGCAGAAUUCAGUGAAUCAUCGAAUCUUUGAACGCACAUUGCGCCUGCCAGCACUCUGGCGGGCAUGCCUGUUCGAGCGUCAUUUCAACCAUCAAGCCCCCGGCUUGUGUUGGGGACCUGCGGCUGCCGCAGGCCCUGAAAACCAGUGGCGGGCUCGCUAGUCACUCCGAGCGUAGUAAUACAUCUCGCUCAGGGCGUGCUGCGGGUUCCGGCCGUUAAAAGCCUUAUUUACCCAAGGUUGACCUCGGAUCAGGUAGGAAGACCCGCUGAACUUAAGCAUAUCAAUAAGCGGAGGA
rnacentral:misc_RNA from 1 species